ensembl:miRNA
UUGAGGCACUGGGUAGUGGAUGAUGGAGACUUGGUACCCACUGCUGAGGGUGGGGACCAAGUCUGCAUCAUCCUCUCCUCAGUGCCUCAA